GUCAGCAUUGCUGACAUCCUGUCGCCAUCAUAUAAGUACUUGUCAUUCAGACCUGCUCAUCACUCAGCCUUGUUUGAGCCUUUGCCUCACAUCUCCUCGGCAUCUCCUCGGCACCUCCUCGGCAUCUCCUCGGCAUCUCCACACCACAGGAGCCAUGAACACUGUGAUUCUUCUCAGCGCAAUUUUUGUUUUCGCCUACAGCGCGCCCAGUACUCCGCACAACCAUCUGAUCUUGGAGAACCUAAUGAAAGACCUGAACGUUUCUCUUCCUAGGGACCUCCAAAACAAACUUGUUCCGGGCGUUUCGAAGAACGACUGCCACCAUGAAGAUUUCUGCAAAGCCGAACAUGCCCUGCUCAAAGUAAAGCACAGCUUCAUGAAGAACUGGAAUAUUGUCAGGACACUGAAGGUGUACAAUCAGAAACGAAACUGCACUGUACACCAUACUGGAGAGGAGCUGCAGCUGAGGGAGCUGUUGAGGAAUCUACUCCUGUGCGCACAAAAGCUGUACUCCACACUCAGCACGGCCUAAGCCGACCUUCUCGAGACCGUGUUCUCGCCUGAUGGUUUCGCUAUGUUUUUAAACGCCUGUGUAUUUAUCAUAUUUAAAUAUUUAACAUAGUAUUUUUGUAGCUAUUUAUCAAAGAAUAAUAAAUGCAUGUGGAAAUGGCA
rnacentral:lncRNA from 1 species